UACGGAGGGUGCAAGCGUUAUCCGGAUUCACUGGGUUUAAAGGGUGCGUAGGCGGGCAGGUAAGUCCGUGGUGAAAUCUCUGAGCUUAACUCAGAAACUGCCAUGGAUACUAUUUGUCUUGAAUUUUGUGGAGGUAAGCGGAAUAUGUCAUGUAGCGGUGAAAUGCUUAGAUAUGACAUAGAACACCCAUUGCGAAGGCAGCUUACUACACAACGAUUGACGCUGAGGCACGAAAGCGUGGGGAUCAAACAGG
rnacentral:rRNA from 1 species